CCUACGGGGGGCAGCAGUGAGGAAUAUUGGUCAAUGGGCGCGAGCCUGAACCAGCCAAGUAGCGUGAAGGAUGAAUGCACUGCGGGUUGUAAACUUCUUUUAUCAAGGAAUAAAGUGAGGCACGUGUGCCUUUUUGUAUGUACUUUAUGAAUAAGGAUCGGCUAACUCCGUGCCAGCAGCCGCGGUAAUACGGAGGAUCCGAGCGUUAUCCGGAUUUAUUGGGUUUAAAGGGAGCGUAGAUGGGUUGUUAAGUCAGUUGUGAAAGUUCGCGGCUCAACCGUAAAAUUGCAAUUGAUACUGGCAGCCUUGAGUACAGUUGAGGUAUGCGGAAUGCGUGGUGUAGCGGUGAAAUGCUUAGAGAUCACGAAGAACUCCGAUUGCGAAGGCAGCUUACUAAACUGCCACUGACAUUGAGGCUCGAAAGUGUGGGUAUCAAACAGGAUUAGAUACCCCAGUAGUC
rnacentral:rRNA from 1 species